rnacentral:rRNA from 1 species
CAGCAGCCGCGGUAAUACGUAGGGUGCGAGCGUUAUCCGGAAUGAUUGGGCGUAAAGCGUCUGUAGGUGGCUUUUCAAGUCCGCCGUCAAAUCCCCGGGCUCAACCCUGGACAGGCAGUGGAAACUACCAAGCUGGAGUACGGUAGGGGCAGAGGGAAUUUCCGGUGUAGCGGUGAAAUGCGCAGAUAUCAGGAGGAACACCGGUGGCGAAGGCGGGUCUCUGGGCCGAUAUUGACGCUGAGGAGCGAAAGCGUGGGGAGCGAACAGGAUUAGAUACCCGAGUAGUCCCUGUCUCUUAUAC